rnacentral:rRNA from 1 species
CGUCGCCGCGGGAAUACGAAGGGGGCUAGCGUUGCUCGGAAUGACUGGGCGUAAAGGGCGCGUAGGCGGAUGGUACAGUCAGAUGUGAAAUUCCCGGGCUUAACCUGGGGGCUGCAUUUGAUACAUGCUGUCUAGAGUGAGGAAGAGGGUCGUGGAAUUCCCAGUGUAGAGGUGAAAUUCGUAGAUAUUGGGAAGAACACCGGUGGCGAAGGCGGCGACCUGGUCCUUGACUGACGCUGAGGCGCGAAAGCGUGGGGAGCAAACAGGAUUAGAUACCCCUGUAGUCCCUGUCUCUUAUACC